UGAGGAAUCUUCCACAAUGGGCGAAAGCCUGAUGGAGCAACGCCGCGUGCAGGAUGAAGGCCCUCGGGUCGUAAAAUGCUUUUAUAAGUGAAGAAUAUGACGGUAACUUAGGAAUAAGCACCGGCUAACUACGUGCCAGCAGCCGCGGUCAUAAGUAGGGUGCAAGCAUUAUCCGGAGUGACUGGGCGUAAAGAGUUGCGUAGGUGGUUAGUAAAGUGAAUAGUGAAAUCUGGCGGCUCAACCGUACAGGCUAUUAUUCAAACUCACUAACUCGAGAAUGGUAGAGGUAACUGGAAUUUCUUGUGUAGGAGUGAAAUCCGUAGAUAUAAGAAGGAACACCAAUGGCGUAGGCAGGUUACUGGACCAUUUCUGACACUGAGGCACGAAAGCGUGGGGAGCGAACCGG
rnacentral:rRNA from 1 species